rnacentral:lncRNA from 1 species
CUCUGGGGGACCUGACACCUUCUUCCAGCUUUCAUGGGUGCCCGUACUUUAGUGCACACAUACACAUAUAUAUAAUUUUUAAAUAAUUUUAAAAGAGUAUUUGUGGAAAUAUUUAAGUACUUCAGGAAACACCAACAAAAGAUAAAGCAAGAAGGCCAUGUGUUGGUGGCUGAAUCUUCCAAUGAGAGAAUGCAAAUGUGUGCUCCUUUGCAGAAGUCUCUCCACGUUUUUGUAUUCAGAAAAUGUCUCAAAGAUAAAAAAUAAAAAAGAAAGAAAAUGUUUCACCUGGGAGGCAGAGGCAGGUGGAUCUCUGUGAGUUCGGUGCCAACCUGUCUCUGGGAUAGCCAGGGCUACACAGAGAAACUCUAUCUUGGAAAACAAAACAAAAAAUAGUUUCAACUAUAAUCUCAUCACAAACUCCCACAGAGGACCAAACACAUUCCUGUCUGUAAGCUUCUGUGGUAACUGAAUUCUGCACUUGGGUUUAGGCUGCUUAGUGACAGCUGAGUCAAGUUCCCUCUAUUACGGUCACGCCCCAAGAUCUCUGCACAGUCCCAUCAAUUGCCACCUCCGCCGACCUUCUCAGUGGACCAUCCUCCAGGAACAACUGGGCGCUCCUCUUCCUGCCUGUGCAGGUAUGUGAACUAGUCAUCAAUGGACAGAGGCUACAGAUUGACAUCUUAACGGACGCUCGCCAGUGAUCACUUGAGGGUCCAGACAGAAGACACAGAAAGAGGCUGAAGAGGGCCAAUGGACGAACUCCAGAGUUUGACCAUGUUCCUGAGAACUUGCCGACAGGAAGGUGAUAAGACCUGGGGAUCAUUACUGAGCGCUCCAGAAGCGUUAUGGCCUACUCCCGUUUGCAAAGAGAGCAAGUCCCAUUCUUUCUCCCCCAACCCCUUGGCAUCAACUUCUAUUGAGGUAUGUUGUUGUCAAAUCCGAGAGGGGAUGGAGUCAGAAUUUUAUAACCAAUGAGAGUGAAAUAAAAGGAAGUCUGUAUCAUUUUAACCA